rnacentral:rRNA from 1 species
AGAGUUUGAUCCUGGCUCAGAUUGAACGCUGGCGGCGUGCCUAACACAUGCAAGUCGAGCGGUAACAGGUGUAGCAAUACAUGCUGACGAGCGGCGAACGGGUGAGUAAUGCUUUGGAAUCUUCCCAGUAGUGGGGAAUAACCAGUCGAAAGAUUGGCUAAUACCGCAUACGUCUGUAAAGGGAAAGCGGGGGCUCGUAAGACCUCGCGCUAUUGGAUGAGCCAAAGUCGGAUUAGCUAGUUGGUGGGGUAAUGGCCUACCAAGGCGACAAUCCGUAGCUGGUCUGAGAGGACGACCAGCCACACCGGAACUGAGACACGGUCCGGACUCCUACGGGAGGCAGCAGUGGGGAAUAUUGGACAAUGGGGGAAACCCUGAUCCAGCGACGCCGCGUGUGUGAAGAAGGCCUGCGGGUUGUAAAGCUCUUUUAGUGGG